AUGCGUCCUAAACCUGAUUGUGCUCCUAAAUGGGGAAAUCGAAGGCCACAGGCAGCUAACCGUUUGACAGAAAUAACACUAAGUGACAAAACAGCACUCGUAUCGUCAGCGACAGGGCAGUCGGUAAAGAGUUCCAAAGAAAGGUUUCUAAAUUCCAGUUGUUGCCUCCUUCGUCGACCCCCCGCCCCCCCAAAAGAACGCUGCGUCGCUGAGGGUGAAUCGGCACAGGGGGAGCUCAAUAAUCCAGUUUGGGAGUCCGCCGGUUCGGCCCCGCCUUUCCCACCGCUUCCCGGUAUCGUACUCCCGUCUCAAGAAGCAAACCAUACGUGGUUGUCAAACAAACAUGAUAAUACACCACUACGCUGCCGUACGCUCCCGUCAGUGGUUCCGACUGUUAUGCCGCUUUUAACGCUAUGCGUAGGAGGAAAUGCCCGGACAGACCCGGUGGACAGUAGACAUCAGGCUCGGGUAACAGCGCUGAACCAGGAACAUGUCAACAAGGAGGCACAGAUAGAAAGAAGAAGAAGAAGAAGAAGAAGAAGUUUUGUAUGGAUACAUGCUCCACCCUUACCUACUAUGUCAUUCACAUGGCUGUGCUGAGAAAUAUGGCAAAUGGGCCCGACCAGCCCCGGAAGCUGAGAUGAACCCAGUGAUCAAUCUGCAAGCUGUAAAGAGACCUGCAAGACCUCUGGCAGCUCUGCAAGGAGCAUUUUAUUUUAUGCAAACCAUUGCUACUUUUACUCCAACAUAACCAUUUCAACUUUAAGCUGUCUCAGAGCUUAUGGCUGAACCCUACCUUGUGAUUUAGCAGGCCAUUCACAUUGCUUCCGUCCAUAUUGCUGGUGGGAUCCAUAAUAUGUUAUUAUAAUUAUUGUAUAUAUUCAGGUGGUUUUAGGUCUGUCAAUUUCAAAAAACUAAAGCCAACAAACACUACCUUGAAUUUACAACCUGAUGUCAUCUUCAGUUAGAGGAGUACUCCACCCAUUUAUUAUUGUAACAUUGUCAGACUCAUGAUGGACAGUUAAAGAAAAAUAAAAAGAUAAAAAUCGAUGCAGUGGAAACAGAGAUAUCCUCAUUUUUAUUCCUUGCAUUUUUCUUUCUUGUCUGAACCUGGCAUUACAUUACUCACAAUACAACUCGACUGCCAACAGUUAGGUCAAACAUACAGAUAUGUUAUGUGUUAUGUUUAAUGCCUGACAAGGUGUCCAUUAUCAGGAAUUAAUGGAUGACGUGGAGGCCAGAUCCAUCCGACGUGCACCCUCUGCAGUCCAUCACUUAGUAGGUAUCCUAUAUCAGGACUUAUUGGACUGCAGCCAAUCAGAAUCGAGUAUUCACCCAGACCAUGGUAUAAAAUGCUAGUAGUGCCUAAUGUAGCCUGGAACCUCAAGUAGAGAUGGGUGAAUGCUACAGAGGUCAGGUACGCUCACAUUUUUCUAACUACACACUCCCAGUAGUAGUAGUCUUCAGUCCCAACUGAUGCUGACUCAAGUGACAUCACUUGAGGAUCAGACUUCACAACAGCUCCCUCUGGAGACACAAAAGGCUUUAUACAACUUCACAUAUGCUGUAGAAAUCCCCACCUGAAAACACUCUUUGAUGUGUGAAAUUGGUGGAGUUCCCCUUGAAAAGUUGCAGUCAACAAACCACAAAAAUCCAUAAUAAAUCAACCACGUUCACACCAUUGUCAGUCGGUUUAUAAAUCCUAUUUGUAUGCUCAGAAUGUAAAUUGAGAAUAUGAUAUGAAAAACUGUGCUGACUGUAAAAUUGUGCUUUACUUUGAACUGGUGUUUUCAACUCAGUGUCUUUCACUUAUGGACAAAGAAAGGAAAAGAAAUGAUUGAAGAAAAAAAGUGAUGAGGAAUGGUUAAAAACACUAUCAAAUACCAGGAAAUAUAUAAGGGAGGCUAGGGGGAAAUUCAUUCAGUUUAAGUUAAUGUGUAAACUUGUCUACCCAUUCUGGAAAAAAAGUACUAGAAUACAUAGCGAAGUGGUAUGAUUUGAUGGUACAUGUGUCAUGGAGACUAUGUUUACUGGGGGACCGAACAGAAAUGCCCAAUAUAUCAAAAUAUGACUUUACAGUAAUAAAGGUCGGGGUGGUCACGGCCGCCCAGAUGGUCCUCAGAUUAUGGAAAAGUAAAUCCUCGCAGGUAUUAAAAAUGGAUGGAAUCUAUGUUAGAAAUAGUAUUGUAUGAACAAAUGUUAGCGAGAUUUAAUAAUGGUGAUGUGAAUUUUAAGAGGGUAUGUGGCAGCAUUUUUGCUUACAGUACUUCUGGGACACUGUAAUGAUCUGGUUGUACUUUUAUAACUGCUAUAUGUCUAUUUUGGUUGCCCUAUAUGUGUUAAUUUAUCACAGACUUUUGUACAUCUUGUAACCAAAUGUAAGGAUACUGUCUGUUCAUAUAUAUACUUAAAUUAAUAAAAACUUUAAUGACAAAAACAAAAAAAGAAUAAACCUCACUAAAUAGGUUCACACUCAGGUUUGUGUUUAGACUGAUCGUCAUCCCCCAACAAAUUGCUUUGGCUAAUCAGAUAUGUGCAGCCCAGAUUCAUGGUCGAUAACUUUGUAGUGUAGUACUUUGCAUGUUAUAAAAAUCUUUCUAG
rnacentral:lncRNA from 15 species